UUCCAACUAAAACACGGAAGGAAU
rnacentral:sRNA from 1 species